AUCACCCAGGGAUCUUGUUAAAAUGUAGAGUCUGAGUCCAUGGGUCUCAGGUGGGGCCUAAGAUUCUGCAUUUCUAGCAAGUUCCCAGGUGACACCUA
rnacentral:pre_miRNA from 1 species